rnacentral:rRNA from 1 species
UGACAAACCGGAGGAAGGUGGGGAUGACGUCAAGUCAUCAUGGCCCUUACGGCCUGGGCUACACACGUGCUACAAUGGUCGGUACAAAGGGUUGCCAAGCCGCGAGGUGGAGCUAAUCCCAAUAAAACCGAUCGUAGUCCGGAUCGCAGUCUGCAACUCGACUGCGUGAAGUCGGAAUCGCUAGUAAUCGUGAAUCAGAAUGUCACGGUGAAUACGUUCCCGGGCCUU